GAUGAACGCUGGCGGCGUGCCUAAUACAUGCAAGUCGAGCGAACGGACGCGAAGCUUUCUUCUCUGAUGUUAGCGGCGGACGGGUGAGUAACACGUGGAUAACCUACCUAUAAGACUGGGAUAACUUCGGGAAACCGGAGCUAAUACCGGAUAAUAUUUUGAACCGCAUGGUUCAAAAGUGAAAGACGGUCUUUCUGUCACUUAUAGAUGGAUCCGCGCUGCAUUAGCUAGUUGGUAAGGUAACGGCUUACCAAGGCAACGAUGCAUAGCCGACCUGAGAGGGUGAUCGGCCACACUGGAACUGAGACACGGUCCAGACUCCUACGGGAGGCAGCAGUAGGGAAUCUUCCGCAAAGGGCGAAAGCCUGACGGAGCAACGCCGCGUGAGUGAUGAAGGUCUUCGGAUCGUAAAACUCUGUUAUUAGGGAAGAACAUAUGUGUAAGUAACUGUGCACAUCUUGACGGUACCUAAUCAGAAAGCCACGGCUAACUACGUG
rnacentral:rRNA from 1 species